CAGUCGCCACGGUAAUAUGUAGGGUGCGAGCGUUAAUCGGAAUUACUGGGCGUAAAGCGUGCGCAGGCGGUUGUGUAAGACAGGUGUGAAAUCCCCGGGCUUAACCUGGGAACUGCGCUUGUGACUGCACAGCUAGAGUAUGGCAGAGGGGGGUGGAAUUCCACGUGUAGCAGUGAAAUGCGUAGAGAUGUGGAGGAACACCGAUGGCGAAGGCAGCCCCCUGGGCCAAUACGGACGCUCAUGCACGAAAGCGUGGGGAGCAAACAGGAUUAGAUACCCCCGUAGUCCCUGUCUCUUAUAC
rnacentral:rRNA from 1 species